rnacentral:rRNA from 1 species
AAGACCUUGCGCUUUUGGAGCGGCCGAUGUCUGAUUAGCUAGUUGGUGGGGUAAUGGCCUACCAAAGCUUCGAUCAGUAGCUGGUCUGAGAGGACGGCCAGCCACACUGGGACUGAGACACGGCCCAGACUCCUACGGGAGGCAGCAGUGGGGAAUUUUGGACAAUGGGCGCAAGCCUGAUCCAGCCAUGCCGCGUGAGUGAAGAAGGCCUUCGGGUUGUAAAGCUCUUUCAGCCGGGAAGAAAAGGCUGCGACUAAUAAUCGCAGUUCAUGACGGUACCGGAAGAAGANGCACCGGCUAACUACGUGCCAGCAGCCGCGGUAAUACGUAGGGUGCGAGCGUUAAUCGGAAUUACUGGGCGUAAAGGGUGCGCAGGCGGUUUUGUAAGUCAGAUGUGAAAUCCCCGGGCUUAACCUGGGAACU